UUGAACUGGAGAGUUUGAUCCUGGCUCAGAUUGAACGCUGGCGGUAGGCCUAACACAUGCAAGUCGAACGGUAACGGACCGCUGGGAUUCCUUCGGGAUGACCUUGGUGCCGACGAGUGGCGGACGGGUGAGUAACA
rnacentral:rRNA from 1 species